rfam:Triticum aestivum genome assembly, contig: Triticum_aestivum_CS42_TGACv1_scaffold_224259_3B
GAUGUACUCCCUCCGUUCGAAAAUACUUGUCGCAGAAAUGCAUAAAAAAUGGAUGUAUCUAAAACUAAAAUACAUCUAGAUACAUCCAUUCCGCCGACAAGUAUUUCCGGAUGGAGGGAGUAGUUA